UCUGUGUGGAUUAAUUAAAGACUAUUUACCCUUGAGUUUCAUCUUCCUGUGCUUUCCUCAACACUGUAAGCGUGGGAACCACUGUAAUGCAGUUUUAUUAAGUAUCAGCCAUUUUCACGUUUUCAGCUAAUAGUAAUGAAUGUUUAUGUUCAAUAGAAUGGUUUCUGAAGGAUCAUGCAACACUGAAGACUGGAGUAAUGAUGCUGAAAAUGUGUGUUCUUGCCACCAUAGAAAUAAAUUACAUUUCACUUUAAAUUGUAGUAAUGUUUCACAAUGUAACUAUCUUUUUAGUUUUUACUGUUUUUACUGUAUUUUUGAUCAAAUUCAACCUUGGUGAGCGGAAUAGGUUUAUUUUAUAAACGUUUGGACCUCAAACUUUGAAACUGUAGUGUAUGAUUUAAUCUAGUAUGAGUUAAAGUUAUUGUAAUGUUAUAUUUACAAAAUCUAUUAUAUUUUACUUCAUUGCACCAGAUCCUCAAGUUCCAGCCCAUGUCACCAGAGCCACUGCAGAUGUGUCCAGUCCCGCUCAGCCAUGCAGUAUUGUCUCAACAGCUCCUUCUGGGGCAUUAUUGCAAGGUCCAUCUGUAGUUCCACUUCCUCGUUUGUGUUCUGAGACCUUGCCACCAGAGGAUCACAAGUGGAUUGGCAAAAGGCUUUUUAAAAUGGGAUUCCCAGGGAACAUACAUACUGGGCCUCUUGGGCAUGGUUUUCGGAUUGGCAGCUGGUUGUGAACUGGUGCCCUGCACAACUGUAGGCUGUAACCGUGGCAUUCCCUGGACCAUUGGGAUUCCCUGAACCAUUGGUACUCCCUGACCAACUGGCAUUCCCUGGACCAUUGGCAGUCUUUGAACCAUUUGCAGACCUUGGAACACUGGCACACCCUGAAGCAUCGACACACCCUGGAAACCUGGUGCUGCUGGUAUAAGUAUGUUGGGUAACAUCUGCACUGAUGCUCCAGGUGCUGAUGGCGUAACCAGUGUAAGACUCUGUGCUGGUGCCUUGGGUCUGAGAGGUGGUCUUCCAGUAGAAAUCUGCCUCUGCUUUGCCUGACCUGCUGUGCACUCUGGUAGCUUGUACUGGUGCUGCUCCCCUGGUUGUUCUGGCUCAGUCCAAAAGGCAUUUGGCAGCCUUGGAGAGGUUCCUGAGCUUCAGGGAGGGGCUGAGGCAACUGAAUGCCCUGAAGCAGCACAGACAGCUCCUGCAUUUUAUGUCUGUUAUACCACUGAAUCAGGGUGUUCUGGUUAACCUCCACCAGCCGCAUUGAGGCCCCCCCCAUCAACAAGCUGUUGCCCAGUACAAGCUACCUUAUCCUUCUGUAGUCUUGGAGGAUCAGAGACCAUCUCGACAGCAUUCCCUUGCCUCUUCUUUUGGGGCUUGGGUGAAUAGUGCAAAGCCUGAUGAAGAUGGUCUCCACCAGACCGUCAGGCCACUGAGCUGGUGCGCUGCUUGCACCCAGCACACUUCUGGUGGUGCUCUCUACUCCUCUGGCUCUGAGGAGUGUGGUGAAAUAGGUGUUCCAGAGGUAACAGGUGGGACGGCAGUCCCUGAGGGUCCAGGUGAUGAAGGAGAAGGUGUAGGGUCAGGGACCAGUGAAGGGGAUAUGCAACCCAGUACAGCCGUGUCACUGCUGGUGACCAGGGUGGAAGAGCCCAGUGUCAGUGUGGAGGAGGGUGGUGACAGAACAACCUCUGGAUCUGCAAUGGUGUGAUCCUCGCUCAUGUCACAAAAGCCCUCAUCUUCAUCUCGCUCCUCUACAUUUAGGUCCUCGAUGAGUUCUGCUGUCUCUUCAGAGUCUAGGUUCAUGUCCUGCAGUGCUUGACCAGUCUGCUGGAACAGAUACUGCACUCCAAUGAGCUCAUCUGGAAUAAAAAUAAUAAACCGGAAUUAAAUACACAGGUUGUGUAUCAUAUUUGAUACAUAAGGCCUUAGAAGUAGCUCAUAUAGUGUAAUAAUGUGAGAACAUGGAGCUCAUAGUCGAGGAGAAAAAAAAAUAUUCAGAGGCCAUAAGCCUAUAACUGUGGGGGCAAAACAUAAUGUUAUGCAAUACAAUGAUGAUUGAGAGACAUACAAAUAAACAUUACUCAAAACCCUAAUGAGCAUAUUUGAUACAUGUAACUUGACUUUUCCGAUCAAGGUAACUUCAGUACAGUAAAUAGUCACAAAAUAUUACUAAUAAUAUCCAAUUUUUUUCUUUCUAAAAAUAAUUACUUUCUAAUAAUAAAGAUUUCACAGCAAAUGGUAGACACACACAAAUGGUAAAUACAAUUAUACUGAAAUGCCUUUUACUUGAUAGAAAAUAAUCAGAUGACAAAAGGCAUGUUUCAAGAAUUUUUUUUUAUCAUGUUGAUAAUUUAGAGGUCUAAAUUACAGAUACAGUAGACUUUAUAGGCUUAAAUAAAAUAUAGACUGAGAUUACACAGAAAUUGCAAGUUAAUUAAUGAUAAUACAUUAUUUUACCAGUGUUACGUGCAGGUGGACAAAAUGAGGGGACCUCUUUCCUGCCAAACAGCUUUUCAUAAUUGCUGUUUACACAGUGAACAAGUUCUCCUGUGUAGCUGCGUAAAGCUGAUGGCUCCGAUGACAGGGAAGCAGCCUCCUGAUCCUGGUUCCACCUGUGUAGACCCUCCAGCAAAUAAAUCUGAAAGUUCAGACUGUUUGCACUGGUCCUUGUAAACAGACAACAGUUUUUAGUGAGGGGUAAACACACAGACACUUAAUGUUCUUACUUUACAUAUGCACAGUGUGUGUGACAAAUGAAAUGGUUAAGGUGGGAUGAAAUGGUUAAGGUGUAAAUGAAAGGAUUCAAAAGAAGUGGAGCCUCUGGCACAUGUCUUCAGAAGCACACCUCCCUUGGUUAAGCUCCCGAGGGCAACACCAGGGGGGUCUUGGAUACACUUGAUGUGCUUCUUCUGGACACUCCAGGUUUGCUCCAUCCUUUCUCGGUCCAGGAGAGGAACACCCAGGGAGUCAUUUCCCUUGCUGCUCAGGAGCUCUGUAAGCAGUCGUUCAAGGAGAAGGAUGGUAGUCUCCUCUCCACGUGUCCUCCUCCGGCAAUGUAGAGCCAGCUCCUCCCUGUUCAGAUGCUUGCUGACAUCUUCAUCUGUCAGCGCAGGCCAACCCUGGGACAUCAACAGCUCUCUCUUUGCUUUGCGAAACAUAGAAAUAUCAGCUGCAUCUCAUUCAAAGAUGCAUGAUGAUAGCCGUGACAUGAAGAUGGGGUACAGCUGAUGGGCAUCAGUUGUACACCCCAAGGCAAUCCUGCGCAUAAAAUGCCAGAUGUCCAAGCAUAUCAUGAGAUCUUGCCAGCCUCUGAAUCUGGUUUUCAGCUUGGUCUCACCCACCUCGGUGCAGCACCCACAGUCCACGUACAACACAGCAGGAGGAUUCACACCAGCCUGCUGGUAU